CCUACGGGAGGCAGCAGUGGGGAAUAUUGGGCAAUGGGCGAAAGCCUGACCCAGCGACGCCGCGUGAGGGACGAAGGCCUUCGGGUUGUAAACCUCUUUCAGCAGGGAAGAAGCGAAAGUGACGGUACCUGCAGAAGAAGCACCGGCUAACUACGUGCCAGCAGCCGCGGUAAUACGUAGGGUGCAAGCGUUGUCCGGAAUUAUUGGGCGUAAAGAGCUCGUAGGUGGUUUGCCACGUCGGAUGUGAAAACCUGAGGCUUAACCUCAGGCCUGCAUUCGAUACGGGCAGACUAGAGUGUGGUAGGGGAGACUGGAAUUCCUGGUGUAGCGGUGAAAUGCGCAGAUAUCAGGAGGAACACCGGUGGCGAAGGCGGGUCUCUGGGCCAUAACUGACACUGAGGAGCGAAAGCGUGGGGAGCAAACAGGAUUAGAUACCCUGGUAGUCCACGCCGUAAACGGUGGGCACUAGAUGGUCGGGACCUUCCGACGGUCUCGUGCGUCGCGNGCUACGCAUAGUACGCCCGCCGUCGGGUACGGUACGGCCGCGACGGACGUAAACCGUAACGAAACGGAAGUAAGGUACGGCGUUGAGACGUUCGCCGACGGACGACGACGAGGGAGGAGG
rnacentral:rRNA from 1 species